rnacentral:lncRNA from 1 species
UAGAUUCCUCCUUUGAACUCUCACCUCAUAUGCUCCACAUGUGAACGUUGUGACGACGUGUGGUGAAUCUAUAUGAAGUCAUCUCACCUUUGAAGGUCUCCAUUGACUCAAUUACACCAUGUGACCGCAUGGAGGCGCUAUUGAGACACUUGCUGCUUUGGCAUCGUAUGAAACAGCUCAAUGUCAUUCAGUCUCAGAUUGAGACACUGGCGAGGAUGAAGCGCCUGAGAGCUGAGAGCAGCAGAGACUGGAGUUAAUGGGACGCCCCAACAUCAGUCACACACACAGUACUGUCCCACACACUGCAUGGAGAUGAGGU